rnacentral:rRNA from 1 species
UACGGAGGGUGCAAGCGUUGUCCGGAUUUAUUGGGUUUAAAGGGUGCGUAGGCGGCAGAUUAAGUCAAGCGGUGAAAUUCCACAGCUCAACUGUGGAACUGCCAUUGAUACUGGUUUGCUUGAGUACAGAUGAGGUAGGCGGAAUUGACAGUGUAGCGGAUGAAAUGCGUAGAUAUCGGGAGGAACACCAGUGGCGAAGGCGGCUAUCUGGAUCAACACUGACACUGAGGCACAAAAGCG